GAGGGUAUAGCUCGAAGUGGUAGAGCACUUUCUUGGCAUGUAUGAGGUCCUGUGUUCAAUCCCCAGUACCUCCU
rnacentral:tRNA from 1 species